rnacentral:rRNA from 1 species
UACGUAGGGUGCAGGCGUUAAUCGGAAUUACUGGGCGUAAAGCGUGCGCAGGCGGUUUGCUAAGAGAGAUGUGAAAUCCCCGAGCUUAACUUGGGAACUGCGUUUCUAACUGGCAAGCUAGAGUGUGGCAGAGGGGGGUGGAAUUCCACGUGUAGCAGUGAAAUGCGUAGAGAUGUGGAGGAACACCGAUGGCGAAGGCAGCCCCCUGGGCUAACACUGACGCUCAUGCACGAAAGCGUGGGGAGCAAACAGGAUUAGAAACCCGGGUAGU